UUUCCGUAGGUGAACCUGCGGAAGGAUCAUUAUCGAGUUUUGAACGGGUUGUCUGCUGGCUCGCAAGGGCAUGUGCACGCCUGUCUCAUCCACUCUCAACUUCUGUGCACUUUUCAUAGGCCGGCUUGUGGGUGCGUUCGCGCACUUGUAGGUGUCGGGCUUAUGCUUUAUUACAAACGAUUCAGUUUUAGAAUGUCAUACUUUGCUAUAACGCAAUUAUAUACAACUUUCAGCAACGGAUCUCUUGGCUCUCGCAUCGAUGAAGAACGCAGCGAAAUGCGAUAAGUAAUGUGAAUUGCAGAAUUCAGUGAAUCAUCGAAUCUUUGAACGCACCUUGCGCUCCUUGGUAUUCCGAGGAGCAUGCCUGUUUGAGUCUCAUGGAAUUCUCAACCUUCAGCUUUAUUGAUGAAGGCUUGGACUUGGAGGUCGUGCCGGCUCUCGUAGUCGGCUCCUCUGAAAUGCAUUAGUGCGAACGUUACCAGCCGCUUCAGCGUGAUAAUUAUCUGCGUUGCUGUGGAGGGUAUUCUAGUGUUCACGCUUCUAACCGUCUUCGGACAAAUUUCUGAACUCUGAGCUCAAAUCAGGUAGGACUACCCGCUGAACUUAAGCAUAUCAAUAAGCGGAGGA
rnacentral:rRNA from 1 species